CCUACGGGAGGCAGCAGUGGGGAAUAUUGCACAAUGGGGGAAACCCUGAUGCAGCGACGCCGCGUGAAGGAAGAAGUAUUUCGGUAUGUAAACUUCUAUCAGCAGGGAAGAAAAUGACGGUACCUGACUAAGAAGCCCCGGCUAACUACGUGCCAGCAGCCGCGGUACUACGUAGGGGGCAAGCGUUAUCCGGAUUUACUGGGUGUAAAGGGAGCGUAGGCGGUUCAGCAAGUCAGAAGUGAAAGCCCGGGGCUCAACUCCGGGACUGCUUUUGAUACUGUUGAACUAGAUUGCAGGAGAGGUAAGUGGAAUUCCUGGUGUAGCGGUGAAAUGCGUAGAUAUUAGACGGAACACCAGUGGCGAAGGCGGCUUACUGGACUGUAAAUGACGCUGAGGCUCGAAAGCGUGGGGAGCAAACAGGAUUAGAUACCCCGGUAGUC
rnacentral:rRNA from 1 species